AGAGUCCUGAAGUGUACGUUGCAUCGCCUAAAUGUUUUGACCGAACAUUUUUUCUUCGGGAGUCUGAGUUUCACGGCUGCGCACAUGCCCCAUACCCGGGGACUUGCAAUAGCAGUGAACAGGACACCCACCUGCUUUAUGCGGGCCAAAACGAAGGAAAUUGGCAACGGCACAAGUUUGGGACUCUU
rnacentral:other from 1 species